rnacentral:lncRNA from 1 species
AAUGCCAAGUGGGUGUGGCAGCCUGCCUAUUAUUCCAGCCUCAAAGGGAGACACAGGAUGCCCCAAGCAAGCAAGCAAGCAAGCAAGCAAGCAAGCAAGCAGGCUAGAAAUACUAGCCAUAACAGGAAGCUCUGGGUUUUAUUGAGACCUUACCUCAGUGUGUAAGGUACAAGAGUGACUGAGGCAGAGUCUCAGCUUCAUCCUCAAGCAUCCAUAUGCAUAUGCACACAUAGUCUUGCAUACCACAUGCAGAUGCACACAUAACCAUGCAUACCACAUGCAAGCACACAUAGCCUUGCAUACCACAUGCAGAUGCACACAUAACCAUGCAUACCACAAACACAAAGAAGAAAGGGAUAAGGUAAGAGCUGAGGGCUUAGACAUUUGUAAAGCAAGCAGGGAAAGUGUCACAAAAGAGGCCCUCGUGAACAGGAAAGCUACUAAAGACCUAAAGUGAGAAGACGCCUUUAUCCAGUGGGCUGUAUACAGAAGAUUCUUGUUCCAGCGGAGUCCUGGCUAAGCACAAAAAGUCUACUGUGCUGGGCAUGUCAGCACAGCACCUGGGAUCCCAGCACUGAGGAGGGAAGUCAAGAGGAUCAGUAGUUCAAGGCCAGCCUGGAC